GCAAUUCAAUCAUCCCAAUCACUAAUGCUGCCAUGACUGAUAUCGCAGUAAUCGUUAUAUUGUAAUAGAUUUGCGAAUAGGAUUGAAGAAUGCCCAAUUAUAGGCAUACUUCAUUACAACACCAUCUAAUGUAUCCAAUAAACUCAUACCUGAUGCGAAUAAAAUUGGUAAAGAUAAGAUUC
rnacentral:sRNA from 1 species